rnacentral:lncRNA from 1 species
GCUUGAGGAGACUUUUCCUGCCGCAGCACAGGCUGUUCUUGCAUGCUGAGACAAGCAGCCUCAGGGUGCAGGGUGGAAUUGCUACACCAUCUCCCUUGGGUGUCUAUUAUCAGGGAUUGAUGGCAGCCCCAGUCUAGAGCAUUUGGAGGUGGUCUGAGUGGGGUAUGGGGUGAGGGAGUUUCCCAAAGAGCCAAAGAGUGACUUGCCCUUCCUGAAAACUGUGCCAUAGAAAACCUAAGUUUUGCCUUCCAUCCGACAGCAACUUCCUUUAAAAGCAUUAAGGAAGGGAAACACACAGAGGAGGUGGAGCCAGUUGGAGCUAUAGCUUAGGCCCUGAAUUGGGAUGCUGGUCCCCUGGGAUCCUGUCUGGAUUUACAGAGGCUGUUUUUUUGAUCAAAAUAGAGGCCUCAAUGGCUUCCUGUUUAGACGUUAUUGCUUUACCAUGAGACCCUUGGGAGAUAGUGUAGCAAUUCUACCCUGCACCCUGAGGUGGAAGAGAUGAGGACACCAGAGCGUUACCUUCUGAGGGUUGGCUGCAUCCUGCCCUGCCUAGUGCUUCUCUGACAACCACAGCUACUCUCUCCAGGCUCUUCCCUCCCCUUUAAACUGAGGGGAGGUAAUGGCUCCUCUGUGUUGCCAGCACCCGGAUGCUGCACCAACUCUUCUGGGUCUCCUUAACCCUGCUCACACCCUUGUAAAUGCUCCCUAUAAUAAACUCUCCUUGGUUAUCCCCGUUCAGGGCACCAUCUGUUUCCUUCCAGGACCAGCACUCAUAUAAGUCGACAAUGCAUCUGCAUUCUAGAAAAUAAUUCAGUGUUCCACACAAGAAUAUUGUUGACUUUUAAAGAAAUUUCCCAUACCUACACUAAAGGAACACCAAAUUUAUUACUGUAUCAGUGAGACAGCUGUUGUGACAGUAAAGUGAGACCCUUGUAGCAAAAGCACUUUUCGGACUCCAUGAUGUUAGGAAACUGCAAAACACCUUCUUCUGAGUCCAGAGACUGGAAAAUGAACUCUUGUGUGGAAAAAGAAGGACAAGAGAGAGCAGAAAGACUGGAGAAAAAAUAUACCACAAAUAUCAAAAUGUUAACUGUGGCUUACAAGGUGAUUUUUAUUUUUUGUUUUUGGCUUUUUCUGUAUUUUGAAAAUAUUCUAGGAUAUGUUUUUUUUAAAUCAGGCCAAAUGCUAUUAAUUAAAAUAUUGAUGAAAUCAAAGAAUACCUCAAAACAUAUAACCAGAAAACAAUAAUAAAGAUAAUAGCUGUCUUACUUUGGGUACCCCAAGAGUUGACUCUGAGACUAGGUGCAAGUAGUUUAUUUGGGAAUUAAAUCUAGGAAGUACUAAUAGGAAAAGUAGGAAAAUGAGAGAGAAGGGAAGAAAGCCAAUACAAGGUGUAUGAAUGAAUAGGUUACCUCCAUGGGAAGCUGGGGUUUAUUUCUGGGAACCUCUGGAAGAUGGUGUAGAACACACCAUAGAAUUGUACCAUCCUACGUCAGGAAGAUGGGGUCUUUGUCCAGCAAAUAAACAGAGAAAGCACUUCUGGCUUUCUCCAUGUACAGAUCAAGCCUGCUUCUGCAGCCAGAAAAGUCCUUAGGCAAAAAUUGAAUUUCAAUUGUUUGUGGUAUGAAUAACAUUGAGUAUCAAGAGAAUAUGAGCCAGGCAUUGACAAAAAUCUGCUGCGCCAAUGAAUCUAUUGCCAAAAUCCGGGAGAAGAUUUAGUUAACUAUGGAACCAUGACACCACCUUGAGAAUCAUAACUAGCAGGCAGCCCACCUUUACCUGCUUAACAACACAGAAAAUCUCAUGACUGAAAUAAAGUAGAAACCUUGGCCUUGACCUUCUCCUUGACUCCUGUGUUACAUGUUACAUGACUCUUUAAGGUGGUCACACACAGAUAUUCAGUAGUACUACCAAUUACAUCGAUUUGGAUUCAACAACUUCUAAAAGACACUGGGAAUACACAGAGGAAAUAGCCUCGGAGUUCAACUUUGGAAACUGGGAGACUGCCUUCGCUUAGAUGUCUAAUAGACAAGGGUAAAAAUCUUGAUUUUACCAUCUCCUGCUUGAUUCCAAGUUUUUCCACCUCAGUAAAUAGCAAUAAAUCCCUCCUCUCAGUUACUUAAGCCCAAAUAUAGUCA